UAAGGUUAAGUUAAUAAGGGCGCACGGUGGAUGCCUUGGCACUAGGAGCCGACGAAGGACGUGACAAACGACGAUAUGGCCUUGGGUAGCUGUAAGUAAGCGAUGAUCCAGGGAUUUCCGAAUGGGGGAACCCAACAGGUAAUACCUGUUACCCACAUCUGUUAAGGAUGUGAGGAGGAAGACGCAGUGAACUGAAACAUCUAAGUAGCUGCAGGAAGAGAAAGCAAAAGCGAUUGCCUUAGUAGCGGCGAGCGAAACGGCAGGAGGGCAAACGCGAAGAGUUUUACUCUUCGGGUGUUGUAGGACUGCAAUGUGGACUCAAAGAUUAUAGAAGAAUGAUUUGGGAAGAUCAGCCAAAGAGAGUAAUAGCCUCGCUAUUUAAAAUAGUCUUUUGUACUUAGCAGUAUCCUGAGUACGGCGGGACACGUGAAAUCCCGUCGGAAUCUGGGAGGACCAUCUCCCAACCCUAAAUACUCCCUAGUGACCGAUAGUGAACCAGUACCGUGAGGGAAAGGUGAAAAGCACCCCGGGAGGGGAGUGAAAUAGAACCUGAAACCGUGUGCCUACAACAAGUUCGAGCCCGUUAAUGGGUGAGAGCGUGCCUUUUGUAGAAUGAACCGGCGAGUUACGUUAUGAUGCGAGGUUAAGUUGAAGAGACGGAGCCGUAGGGAAACCGAGUCUGAAUAGGGCGCCUUAGUAUCAUGACGUAGACCCGAAACCAUGUGACCUACCCAUGAGCAGGUUGAAGGUGCGGUAAGACGCACUGGAGGACCGAACCAGGGCACGUUGAAAAGUGCUUGGAUGACUUGUGGGUAGCGGAGAAAUUCCAAACGAACUUGGAGAUAGCUGGUUUUCUCUCCGAAAUAGCUUUAGGGCUAGCGUCGACAUUAGAGAUUCUUGGAGGUAGAGCACUGUUUGGGUGAGGGGUCCAUCCCGGAUUACCAAUCUCAGAUAAACUCCGAAUGCCAAUGAAUUAUGGUCGGCAGUCAGACU
rnacentral:rRNA from 1 species